rnacentral:rRNA from 1 species
UACAGAGGUCCCAAGCGUUACUGAGAAUCACUGGGUUUAAAGGGUGCGUAGGUGGUCCGUUAAGUCAGUUGUGAAAUCCCCGGGCUCAACCCGGGAAAUGCUUCUGAUACUGGCGGACUUGAGGCCAGUAGGGGUCACUAGAACUGGCGGUGGAGCGGUGAAAUGCGUAGAUAUCGUCAGGAAUGCCGGUGGUGAAGACGGGUGACUGGGCUGGUUCUGACACUGAGGCACGAAAGCGUGGGGAGCGAACGGG